rnacentral:rRNA from 1 species
UAUUAAGCGGAGGAAAAGAAACUAACUAGGAUUCCCUUAGUAGCUGCGAGCGAACAGGGAUUAGCCCAGCACUGAAUCCCGCGGCCGAUAUCGGACGCCGGGAAAUGUAGUGUUUGGGAGGAUCCAUUAUCCUGAGAUUGAUUUAUUGAGUCCAAGUCCUUCUUGAACGGGGCCACAGCCCAUAGAGGGUGCCAGGCCCGUAGUGACCAAUAACAAUAGCGGGAGGAUCUCUCCUUAGAGUCGGGUUGCUUGAGAGUGCAGCCCUAAGUGGGUGGUAAACUCCAUCUAAGGCUAAAUAUAAACACGAGACCGAUAGCGAACAAGUACCGUGAGGGAAAGUUGAAAAGCACUUUGAAGAGAGAGUUCAAUAGUACGUGAAACCGUUCAGGGGUAAACCUGAGAAAUCCGAAAGGUCGAAAGGGGAAAUUCAUUCGUAUUUCGAUAUUGGCAUUGUGUGUUUGUUAUGACAAUUGACAAUUUAUUGUUCUUUUGCAUCUUACGCAUUAUGAACUGGUACCGAAUACGUGCACUUUUCCCCAAGUAGGACGCCGUGAUCCGUUGGGUGUCGGUCUAAGGUUUUGUGGUGGCAGACCAUUUAGAUAGUUUAUAGCUAUUUAAUCUAAAUGGACCCAUAUUAUCCCGACCGGCUCGCUCGACGGUAUCAUUAAUGACGCAGAGCCGCAAAUUUACAAAAUUUGCGUUCGGCCCACAACAAGCGUACUAUGUGUAUUGGUGUAACGGACCUAGUGCCGUCACUGAACCUUAGUAUCUGUUGGUUGUGGUGUUCUCGAACAGACUCUGUAAUAUGAAACGUCAAUCAGCGGCGCUAUAGCUUUGGAUACUUUCAGGACCCGUCUUGAAACACGGACCAAGGAGUCUAGCAUGUGCGCAAGUCAUUGGGAUUUUAAAUUAAACCUAAAGGCGUAAUGAAAGUAAAUGUUUGUCUUUGUGCAAACUAAGGGAAGAUGUGUGGUUUGCCUAUUAAAGUGACCACUCCGCAUUCCCGGGGCGUCUCAUUCUUAUUGCAAGAAGAGGCGCACCAAGAGCGUACACGCUGGGACCCGAAAGAUGGUGAACUAUGCCUGGUCAGGACGAAGUCAGGGGAAACCCUGAUGGAGGUCCGUAGCGAUUCUGACGUGCAAAUCGAUCGUCGGAACUGGGUAUAGGGGCGAAAGACUAAUCGAACCAUCUAGUAGCUGGUUCCCUCCGAAGUUUCCCUCAGGAUAGCUGGCGCUCAUUGCGCACGAGUCUCAUCCGGUAAAGCGAAUGAUUAGAGGCAUUGGGGUCGAAACGACCUCAACCUAUUCUCAAACUUUAAAUGGGUGAGAUCUUCGGCUUGCUUAAAUUAAUAUUUUAAUGAAGCCGUAAGAUUUCGGAUCAGAGUGCCAAGUGGGCCAUUUUUGGUAAGCAGAACUGGCGCUGUGGGAUGAACCAAACGCUGAGUUAAAGCGCCUAAAUCGACGCUUAUGGGAUACCAUGAAAGGCGUUGGUAACUUAAGACAGCAGGACGGUGGCCAUGGAAGUCGGAAUCCGCUAAGGAGUGUGUAACAACUCACCUGCCGAAGUUACUAGCCCUGAAAAUGGAUGGCGCUGAAGCGUCGUGCUUAUACUCAGCCGUCAGUGGCAUGUGCGAUUUUACAUACUUGUGUGUAAGGUCAUGAAGCUCUGACGAGUAGGAGGGUCGCGGCGGUGAGCGCAGAAGGGCUGGCCGUGAGG